UACGUAGGGCGCAAGCGUUGUCCGGAAUUAUUGGGCGUAAAGAGCUCGUAGGUGGCGUGUCGCGUCUGCCGUGAAAGCCCAUGGCUUUACUGUGGGUCUGCGGUGGAUACGGGCAGGCUGGAGGCUGGUAGGGGCAAGCGGAAUUCCUGGUGUAGCGGUGAAAUGCGCAGAUAUCAGGAGGAACACCGGUGGCGAAGGCGGCUUGCUGGGCCAGUUCUGACGCUGAGGAGCGAAAGCGUGGGGAGCGAACAGG
rnacentral:rRNA from 1 species